rnacentral:rRNA from 1 species
UACGGUUAAAAGCUCGUAGUUGGUAGUUUCGGUAGUUGUUAUCUGACCUUCUCGCCCUAAAAAGUGGGGGGGCUAGGUAGCAGUAGUUUUCAUCAUAGUCCAUCAGGAUACUCUCUUGAUGUGUACUGGGUGUUAACCUCCUUUUUUUCUGGUACUUGCUAUCCAGCAAUGGGUAGUUUUGUCCAGAUAGUUUACUUUGAAAAAAUUAGAGUGUUUCAAGCAGGCUAUUGCAGGAAUACAUUAGCAUGGAAUAACGAAUGUACCUACAAUUUGGUUAAUUGUAGAUUACUAUUAAUAGGGACAGUUGGGGGCAUUAGUAUUUAAUUGUCAGAGGUGAAAUUCUUGGAUUUGUUAAAGACUAACGUAUGCGAAAGCAUUUGCCAAGGAUGUUUUCAUUAAUCAAGAACGAAAGAUAGGGG